CCUACGGGAGGCUGCAGUGGGGAAUAUUGGACAAUGGGGGGAACCCUGAUCCAGCCAUGCCGCGUGUGUGAAGAAGGCCCUCGGGUUGUAAAGCACUUUCAGUGAGGAAGAACGCCUGGUGGUUAAUACCCAUCAGGAAAGACAUCACUCACAGAAGAAGCACCGGCUAACUCCGUGCCAGCAGCCGCGGUAAUACGGAGGGUGCGAGCGUUAAUCGGAAUUACUGGGCGUAAAGCGCGCGUAGGUGGCUUGAUAAGCCGGUUGUGAAAGCCCCGGGCUCAACCUGGGAACGGCAUCCGGAACUGUCAAGCUAGAGUGCAGGAGAGGAAGGUAGAAUUCCCGGGGUAGCGGUGAAAUGCGUAGAGAUCGGGAGGAAUACCAGUGGCGAAGGCGGCCUUCUGGACUGACACUGACACUGAGGUGCGAAAGCGUGGGUAGCAAACAGGAUUAGUACCCGUGUAGUC
rnacentral:rRNA from 1 species